rnacentral:rRNA from 1 species
ACGAGGGGUGCAAACGUUAUUCGGAAUUACUGGGUGUAAAGGGUACGUAGACGGCAUAUUAAGUCAAUUGUUAAAUUCCCCAGCUUAACUGGGGGUAGGCGGUUGAAACUAAUAAGCUAGAGGAUGAGAGAGAGAAGUGGAAUUCUCGGAGUAGCGGUAAAAUGCGUAGAUCUCGAGAGGAACACCGAUGGCGAAGGCAGCUUCUUGGCUCAUUUCUGACGUUGAGGUACGAAAGCGUGGGGAGCAAACAGG